rnacentral:rRNA from 1 species
UACGGGAGGCAGCAGUAGGGAAUCUUCCGCAAUGGACGAAAGUCUGACGGAGCAACGCCGCGUGAGCGAUGAAGGCCUUCGGGUCGUAAAGCUCUGUUGUUAGGGAAGAACAAGUGCCGAGUAACUAUCGGCACCUUGACGGUACCUAACCAGAAAGCCACGGCUAACUACGUGCCAGCGACCGCGGUAAU